rnacentral:rRNA from 1 species
AAAGCGCACGUAGGCGGAUAUUUAAGUCAGGGGUGAAAUCCCGCAGCUCAACUGCGGAACUGCCUUUGAUACUGGGUAUCUUGAGUAUGGAAGAGGUUAGUGGAAUUGCGAGUGUAGAGGUGAAAUUCGUAGAUAUUCGCAGGAACACCAGUGGCGAAGGCGGCUAACUGGUCCAUAACUGACGCUGAGGUGCGAAAGCGUGGGGAGCAAACAGGAUUAGAUACCCUAGU